UAGUUCAUGUCUCAAGCAAGCAUUUAUCCACCGCAAAUAAACUAACUCUUCAGGAUCUAAACUCUAUCAGCAUGUAGUUGCUAAAGUUCUUUCGUCAACCCUUAAUUCUCUUUUCUAAGAUGCUACCCUUCUUCCUUCAGAGCAUGUGCCUGCAUCCAAAAACAUAAGGUGAAAUUGUGUUGAAGUUUAAAGAACAAUGGAUUGUUUAUAGGACCCCGUUUGGAUAAACUUUACUAUAAGUACUUAUAAGAGAAGAAAAUAAGAAGGUAAAAUGAAUUGAUCUUGUUGCCUAAGUUAGAAUCAACUUAUGCAUUUAACUUUUAUAGAAGCUUUUUUCAUUUGACUCUCCAUAAGUUAAAGUGUAUAAGUAAUCUUAUUACCUCAGGGUCUUCUAGAACAGCAUUUGCAAGGAUCUGAGUAGAAUCCAAUCUUCGAGCUAAGUCAGAAUUGUCCAUCUGCAGUCUCAAAUUAGAUUUCCUCAACUGUUCUGACUCACACUCAAGAUCCUUUAGCCUUUUCAGCCUUAUCUGAAUCUCUUGGUCGUUAGCAGAAGCUUUGUAUUCGUGAUCUUGCAACUUGGCAACUUUUUGUUUAAGAUUCAUGAUAUGCUCCCUAUUUUGUUCAGCUUCAUACUUAAGUUUCUUCUUCAGACACUAAACUUUUGUUUUUGCAGUCUCAAGCUCAGUCAUCAUGUUAGGAAGAAGAUGCUCUGCUAUGGAAACCUGCCAUAGGGGUAGUUAUCAUUCUAGAAGUAGUUAUCAUUUUGUUGUAGCAGUUAUCAUUCAGUUGUAGACAUGCAAUUGUGUAUAAAAGCUCUAUGAAUCAAUGAAUAAGACAGAGAAGAAUAUUCGAUACUUAGCUUUCAUAGGAGGCCUUGGUCCUCGAAACCAAGUAGUGUAGUUUUCUCCCACCCCUCUGUGAGAAGCACCUAGAUUCAGAAAUUUUAGCUGGACUAGCUAUUGCUAUAAUCAUGGAUGGGUCCCAGACAUUCCUUAUUGAAAUUCAGGCACUUUGUCUUUCUGGUUCAACAGGUUCAAGGCAAGUUCAUGGGAUCCAACUAAAAAGAGCUGAUAUGAUCAUAUCUGUUCUUAUAAAGCAAGCAGGUCUUCCUCUCCAAGAACAUUUGCUUGGAAAUCCCUAUUCUAAAUGACAUUGCAUUCAUUGGUGAAAUUGACCUUGGUGGUGAGCUUCGCAUGGUUCCUAGAAUGGAGAAAAGGGUAUAUACCGUCACGAAAUUGGGUUUCAGAAUGUGUAUAGUACCCAAGGUGGCUGAAAAAGCUUUGGGAACUGAAGGUUUUGAAAAGAUGGAAGUUGUUGGUUGCAGGAAUCUGAAAGACAUUAUUAAUACUGUAUUUCCCAAUCUAAUGAGAAGAAGCCAGUGAUUGGUCACAGACAA